rnacentral:lncRNA from 1 species
UGUCUCUUAACUGACUUUUUUCCUUCUGUUUAGGUUUGGGAUUUGGAGUUCUUUGUGGUUUUGCUCUUUGCCAAAAAAUGAUUGUGAAUCCUGUUGUGCUGGUGACAUGAAGAGCGCUGGUCAAAAAUGAUUCAGCCAGUCAAGUGCUACCAAUCAAAUACUUGUACAUGAUCUAUUAGACAUUGCAACAAGCAAGGUGUCACAAAACACUUUUAUCAUGAUGUCAGUGUGCCAUUCCAGUGUUACUGCCAUUAUUGUCUCUUCUGGAGAAGAGAAGAGGAGCUGCUUUGGAGUUACUUACAGAUUUCAUGAUCCAACAUCUCCAUUAGUGGUCUUCUCCAUGAUUCUUCUACCAGCAGAUGUCUGGAGAAGGAGGACCUUGCUUUGCUUUCUCUCUACUGGUCUGGGACUUCAUUUUUCUGAAGUUUUCUGUCUGGUUGCUAACAUGAGAAGUUCGUGUGAGUUCAGAAACAAUGACCUGAUCCCAGUGCAUGAGUGAGUUGU